rnacentral:rRNA from 1 species
UACGGAAAAGGCAAGCGUUGUUCGGAAUUACUGGGCGUAAAAGGCUCGUAGGCGGCCAACUAAGUCAAACGUGAAAUCCCUCGGCUUAACCGAGGAACUGCGCUUGAUACUGGAUGGCUUGAGAUUGGGAGAGGGAUGCGGAAUUCCAGGUGUAGCGGUGAAAUGCGUAGAUAUCUGGAGGAACACCGGUGGCGAAGGCGGCAUCCUGGACCAACACUAACGCUGAGGAGCGAAAGCCAAAGGAGCAAACGAG